AUGAAGAAUUGGAUAUGGUGAAAAUUUUGGGCGGCAUCACUCCGUUAAAAGUGGCCCUCUUUUUUGACCUCGAUGACAAGGCAUUCACGGAAGAAUUACUUGAUGCUGAGGAAUCGGAUAUUCGCCCAUUAAAAAUCGUCCAUCUAUCGACAACUUUAACUUGUUUUUAAAUGACGGCCUACUAACAAAUGAGGGCCACUGACCAGUGAAAAUGUUGUGGUCAAUUUAAUAUUGCCUAGCAAUGAGAUCCAUUAUGCAGCUAUGGAGCAACACGUGUCAAAUUUGUCAAUAAUAUAUAUAGUAUAUAUGUGUAUAUGUAGUGUAAGUAUAUUUUGUGUAUUCAUUAUCUUGAUGUACAUAUGUGUAUCUAUGCUGACGGUGCUUGUGCAGAAACAAUAAUUUGUAUUUCCAACUUGUAUAUUCCUUACCACGUCCAACACCCAUUCAAUCGUAAACAAAUGUACACUAGAUAAUUAUAUCCGGAAGUUUUUAGUUAAUGCAUUUUAUUUCGUUAUGGUUGAAAUUAUUUUUCUAAGUUUGUUGUGGCUUGUAAAUUGUUUAAAAAUAAAUCUUAAGUUUACUUCAAAUGGACUAGUAAAAUUUCACUUAACUAAUGCACCAAAUCGCUUUACGUUGUAUUUCAUGGAUACUUAUAAAGUGAUCACAAAUUAUGUCCUUUUGAAACAAUGCAUAACUUGAAUUUGAAAUAUAAAUAUAAUAUUAAACAUAUGUAUGUUACAUAUCCAAUUACAUAUAUGUAUGUAUGUAUAUGUAUUUAGCACAUUUCAGGCAGACAUAAUUAGUAGUAAUGCGAUCUAUGAUAUACGUAGGUAUGUAUUAUAUGUAUGUAUGUACAUGCAUAAGUACUUACUCAUCUAUGUUAGUUGACAUUAUAAAAUUCAUAUAGGUAUUGAAUAUACAUACACACUUCAGCUAUUCAUAAUACAAUUAGUACGUUUGCUCCCGUUUCAGUUGUUAUUCAGUUUUGUUAUUGUACACUAUUUGUUGGGUAAUUGACUACGAUGCUAUUAAAAACGGAAUUUACGCAAAGACAGGCAUGAACAGAACAAGGCCUUCCAUAGUAGAAUUUUUAUAUUUUUACAUCGUUUC